CCUAGCCCCGAUAGAAGCAGAAAUCCUUCCGCGCCGGGGUUCGGCGCAGAAGAUUGGAGCGGAUAGCGGGAUCAGCU
rnacentral:ncRNA from 2 species